GGUUCCUUAACUUAAUUGGUAAAGUGUACCUUUGAUAAAGGUAUGUUCAGUGUUCAAUUCGCUGAGGAAUCA
rnacentral:tRNA from 1 species